rnacentral:tRNA from 1 species
GAGGGUAUAACUCAGUGGUAGAGCGCCUGCUUAGCAUGCACAAGGUCCUGGGUUCAAUCCCCAGGACCUCCA